GCUGGGUGUGGUGGCGCAUACCUGUAGUCCCAGCUACUUUGGAGGCUGAGGCAGGAGAAUUGCUUGAACUCGGGAGAUGGAGGUUGCAGUGAGCCAAGAUCACGCCACUGCACUCCAGCCUGGGCGACAGAGCAAGACUCUGUUUCAA
rnacentral:SRP_RNA from 1 species